AGCUAGAUGGUGGGGUAAAGGCCUACCAUGGCGACGACGGAUAGGGGACCUGAGAGGGUGACCCCCCACACUGGUACUGACACACGGACCAGACUCCUACGGGAGGCAGCAGUGAGGAAUAUUGCGCAAUGGGCGAAAGCCUGACGCAGCAACGCCGCGUGCGGGAAGAAGGUCUUCGGAUCGUAAACCGCUUUUCUGAGGGAAGAGUAAGGACGGUACCUCAGGAAUAAGUCUCGGCUAACUACGUGCCAGCAGCCGCGGUAAAACGUAGGAGGCAAGCGUUAUCCGGAUUUACUGGGCGUAAAGCGCGUGCAGGCGGUUUUUUAAGUCGUGCGUAAAAGCUCCCAGGCUCAACCGGGAGAGGUCGUGCGAAACUGAAAGACUUGAGACGGGCAGAGGCAAGUAGAAUUCCGGGUGUAGUGGUGAAAUGCGUAGAUAUCCGGAGGAAUACCAGUGGCGAAGGCGGCUUGCUGGGCCUGUUCUGACGCUCAGACGCGAAAGCAUGGGGAGCGAACGGGAUUAGAAACCCCGGUAGUCCAUGCCGUAAACGAUGCAGACUAGACGUUAGCCCUGUAAGGGGCUAGUGUCGAAGCUAACGCGAUAAGUCUGCCGCCUGGGGACUACGACCGCAAGGCUAAAACUCAAAGGAAUUGACGGGGACCCGCACAAGCAGCGGAGCGUGUGGUUUAAUUCGAGUCUACACGAAGAACCUUACCUGGGCUUGACAUACAAGUGGUAGUGAACUGAAAAGGGAACGACCUUCGGGAGCUUGUACAGGUGCUGCAUGGCUGUCGUCAGCUCGUGUCGUGAGAUGUUCGGUUAAGUCCGGUAACGAGCGCAACCCUCGGUGUUAGUUACAAGUGUCUAGCACGACUGCCCGGUUCAACUGGGAGGAAGGUGGGGAUGACGUCAAGUCAGCAUGGCCUUUAUGUCCAGGGCUACACACACGCUACAAUGGCCGGUACAAUAGGUUGCCAAGCCGCAAGGCGGAGCCAAUCCAGAAAAACCGGUCUCAGUUCGGAUUGUAGGCUGCAACUCGCCUGCAUGAAGUCGGAGUUGCUAGUAAACGCAGGUCAGCUAUACUGCGUUGAAUACGUUCCCGGGUCUUGUACACACCGCCCGUCACGUCAUGGAAGCUGGUCACGCCUGAAGUCGGUGGGCUAACCUAACGGAGGCAGCCGCCAAAGGCAGGGCUGGUGACUAGGACGAAGUCGUAACAAGGUAGCUGUAGCGGAAGCUGCGGCUGG
rnacentral:rRNA from 1 species